GUUGGAGAAGAGAGUAAAAAGAGGCCGCUUACCGGAUUUGAAAUUGGUGAAAUGUUUCUUGGGCUGGUGGGUCUGAGGACCUGAGGUCACAGGUGGAUCUUUUCUCACGGAGCAAAGAGCAGGAAGACAGGGGAUUGAUCUCCCAAGGGAGGUCCCCUGAUCCGAGUCAUGGUACCAAAUUUUAUGCGCGUCCAUGUGAAGAGACCACCAAACAGGCUUUGUGUGAGCAAUAAAGAUGUUUAUUUCACCUGGGUGCAGGAGGGCUGAGUCGGAAAAGAGAGUCAGUGAAGGGAGAUAAGGGUGGGGCCGUUUUAUAGGAUUUGGGUAGGUAAAGGAAAAAGGGGGGUUGUUCUCUGGCGGGCAGGAGUGGGGGGUCACAAGGUGCUCAGUAGGGGAGCUUUUGAGCCAGGAUGAGCCAGGAGAAGGAAUUUCACAAGAUAGUGUCAUCAGUUAAGGCAGGAACAAGCUAUUUUCAAUUCUUUUGUGGUGGAAUGUCAUCAGUUAAGGUGGGGCAGGGCAUAUUCACUUGUUGUGUGAUUCUUCAGUUACUUCAGGCCACCUGGGCGUAUACGUGCAAGUCACAGGGGAUGUGAUGGCUUGACUUGGGCUCAGAGGCCUGACAAGACUGAACUAGGGUUGGGAUUGUGUGACAAGCUGGUCUCUAUCAACCGUGUCUGUGUCCACGGCAUUGUUGUGUUGCGAUCGCGCUCCUCCUAGGUCAGAACUUACAGUGGGAGUUUGGGAGGCCGAAGUGGGUGGAUCACCUGAAAUCAGGAGUUCAAGACCAGCCUGGCCAACAUGGUGAAAUCCUGGCUCUUUACAAAUACAAAAAUUAUGGUGGGCACGGUGGCUCUCGCCUGUAAUCUCUGCACUUUGGGAGGCCAAGGCAGGCGGAUCACUGAGGUCAGGGGUUCGAGACCAGCCUGGCCAACAAGAUGAAACCCCAUCUCUACUAAAAAUACAAAACAAUUAGCUGGGUGUGGUGGCGGGUGCCUGUAAUCCCUGGCUACUCAGGAGGCUGAGGCAGGAGAAUUGCUUGAACCUGGGAGGCGGAGGUUGCAGUGAGCUGAGAUUACGCCACUGCACUCCAGCCUGGGUGGACAGAGCAAGAAUCGGAAAGCCUGACUCCAAUGGGGAUAAUUGGAUCUCAGGGUGGCAGGGACCAAGUGACAGAACUUAAUGACCAAAGGCAAGGUGGGUGGUUACCGCUUGGACAGCAGAGUCAGAGCAGCCACCAGAGUGCUAUGACUUGGCCGGGCGGUGGUUCAUGCCAGUAAUCCCAACACAUUGGGAGGCCCAGGUGGGAGAAUCUCUUAAGGCCAGGAGUUCGAGACUAGCCUGGGCAACAUAGUGAGACCUGUCUCUACAAAAAGUUUAAACAAUUAGCCAGAUGUGGUGGUGCAGGCCUGUGGUCCCAGCUACUCGGGAGGCUGAGGCAGGAGGAUCACUUGAGCCCAGGAGGUCGAGGCUGCAGUGAGCUGUGAUUGUGCCACUGCACUCCAGCCUGGGCAACAGAAUGAGACUCUAUCUCUAAAGAUAAUACAUUUUUAAAAAGAAUUCCAGGAAUCCACCCCUAACACCAGCCCCUCCCCUCCCUCUGCAGAACAAAGGCCCCAUCAGAGGGGACAUGCUGGGCGUCAGGGUCGGCUUCCGGGAGGAGGAAGGCGGAGGUGCACAGGCCCUGACAGGAUAGAGGGAGCCGCGGAAGGGAGGCCGGCCUGGUGGAACCUUGAGGGAAGGCAAUGAUCCUGCAUCCCUCCAGGGGGCGCUGGAGAGCCAUAGAGUUCUUUUUGUUAACAGCUUCAUUGAGACCUGAUUCAUACAUAAAAUUCACCCAUUUAAAGCGUACAGUUCAAUGGCUUUUAGUGUAUUUAUAGGGUUGUGCACCUGUCACCACAAUCAAUUCUAGAAUAUUUUCAACAUCCCCAAAAGAAACUCUGAACCUCCUAACAGUGAUCGCCGGCCCCCAGUCCUCGGCAACCACUAAUCCCCUUUCUGUCUCCAUGGGUUUGCCUAUUCUGGACAUUUCACGUAAGUGGAAUCACGCUACACUGCCCUUUGUGACUGGCUUCUUUCAGUAGCAUGUCUUCCAGCUGCAGCACUGCUGUAGUGUCUGUCAGUCAUUCCAUUUUUUUGUGUGUAUUUUUUGUUUUGUUUCUUUUUUAGAGACAGGGUCUCGCUCCGUUGCCCAGGCUGAGUGCAGUGGUGUGAUCUCGGCUCACUGCAACCUGGAUCACCCAGGCUCAAGCGAUCUUCCCACCUCAGCCUCUCAAAUAGCUAGGACUACAGGCAUAUACCACCACGCCCAGCUAUUUUUUGUAUCUUUUGUAGAGAUGGGGUCUCACUAUGUUGUCCAGGCUGGUCUCGAUCUCCUGGGCUUAAGCCUCAGCCUCCCAAAGAGCUAGGAUUAAAGGCGUGAGUCACCACGCCCAGCCUGUCAUUCCUUUUCAUUGCUGAAUGAUAUUUCAUUGUCCUGGAAGAACUCUGAGCAGAGAAGGGACAGAGUCGGGCUAGCGCUUUAUCCCUCCAGUGGAUUAGACGGGGUAGGAUGGGUUGAAUUGUGUCCCGCCAGAGGGUAUGCUAAUUCCUCUUCCCAGCGCCUGUGCAUGUGACCUUAUUUGGAAAAAGGGUCUUUUCAGAUGAGGUCAUAGGGUGGGCUCUGGUCCAAUAUGACACAUGCCCUUCUAUAAAAGGGGACUGCCGGCAGUGUGACAGAAGCUAGAGAGAGGCAGGGAAGACUCCUGGCAGGUUCCCGAGGGAGCUCAGCCCAGCCAACACCUUGACUUCCAAUUUCUGGCCCCCAAGAAUGUGAGAGAUCUGUUGUUUCAAGUCAUCCAGUCUGUGGGGUUUUGGUACACAGGGAGGCAGAGUGGAGGCGAGAGGGUGGCGAGGAGGGGAGGAGCACAGGGAGGGAGGGGCUCAUCCAGGGACUGCAGGAAGGUGCAUAAAGGAUAUUGGGGCCCAGCAUGGUGGCUCAUGCCUGUAAUCCCAGUACUUUGGGAGGCCGAGGUGGGAGGAUCACUUGAGGUCAGGAGUUCGAGACCAGCCUGGCCAACAUGGUGAAUCCCUGUCUCUACUAAAAAUACAAAAAUUAGCCAGGCGUGGUGGCGGGCAUUUAUAAUCCCAGCUACUCAGGAGGCUGAGGCAGGACAAUCAUUUGAACCCAGGAGGCAGAGCCUGCAGUGAGCUGAGAUGGUGCCACUGCACUCCAGCCUGCAUGACAGAGCAAGACUCCAUCUAAAAAAAAAAAAGAGAGAAAGGAUAUUGGGAAACAGAGCCAGGCAUUUUGGAGAUGAGGGUGUCACCAAAAUGAGCAUGUGUCACCUUCCAGGGAUGGUCAGUGUGUGGCUGCUACAGCAACUGGCAGGGGGUAAACAGCAAAACAUGGCUGGGUGCAGUGGCUCACGCCUGUAAUCCCAGCACUUUGGGAGGCAGAGGUGGGAGGAUCGCUUGAGCCCAGGAAUUCAAGACCAGCCUGGCCAACAUAGUGAAACCCCACCUCUACUAAAAAUACAAAAAGUUUAGCCAGGCGUGGUGGUGCAUGCCUGUAGUCUCAGCUACUUGGGAGGCUGAGGCACAAGAAUUGUUUGAAUCUGGGAGGCGGAGGUUGCAGUGAGCCGAGAUUGCACUACUGCACUCCAUCCUGGGUGACAGUAAAAGACUCUGUCUCAAACACACGUGCGCACACACACACAGCAGAAGAUGGAGGGAGGAAGGACAGGGCCUACGGACUCAUUGGGUGCAGCAGGUAAGAGAGAAAACCUAUACCCAUAUUGCUGACUUGGGAAGUAGCCCUAUUUGUCUCUGAUGUCACAGAAGAAGAGUGACAGUCAAAUGUUGGUUACUUUUCCUGUUGCCUUAGUGAUCACUGUAGCUGAUGUUUGCUGAGAACCGUUUAUGUGCCAAUCCCUGCUCUAAGCACGUGGACUAAUGCAUCAACUCUCAACAACAACUUGUGAGGUGGGAACGAUCCUUAACUUCCUUUUACAAAUGAUAAAGCAGCCAUACAAAAUGAGGAUGACAACAUUCUCCUUGCCUACUCCCGGCCCACAGGGCUCUCUGUGAUUCAGCAAUGGUUGGCCCCUGGUGAGGGGAAACUGUGGCCUGGGCGCCUGCACUAUGUUUGUGCAAGAUCUGUAUUCUGAAAAUUAUGAAAUAUUGCUAAAUUAAAGAAGAACCGACCAGGCGCGGUAGCUCACCCUAGUCUACUGAUUUUCAGUAAAGGUAUUAAAUUAAUUCAAUGGGGAAAUGAAUACUUUUUUCAAAAAAUGGUUCUGGAACCAUUAGACAUCCAUAUGCAGAAAAAUGAGCCAUGAGCGUUAACUCACAUCAUACACAAUGCCUAACUGGAAAUGGACCACAGACCUAACGGUUUAUAUUAAAAAUCUAAAACUAUUAAACUAGAAGAAAACAUAAGAAAAAACUUCAUGAUCUUGAGGGUAGGCAAAGAUUUGUUAGGUAGAACAGAAAAAGUAGAAAUGACAAAAGAAAAUGAUAAUUUGAAAUUCCAUCAAAAUACAAAACUUCUCUUGUCCAGGAGCAGCAACUCACACCUGUAAUCCCAGCACUUUGGAAGGCCAACGUGGGAGGAUUGCUUAAGCCCAGUUCGAGACCAGCCUGGGCAACAUGGCCAGAUGCCAUCUCUACAAAAAAUACAAAAAUUAGUUGGGUGUGGUGGCACCUGCCUGUAGUCCCAGCUACUCAGGAGGCUGAACUGGGAGAAUCACCUGAGCCCAAGGAGGCUGAGGCUGCAGUGAGCUGUGAUUAUGCCACUGCACUCCAGCCUGGGCAACACAGUGAGACCCUAUCUCAAAACAACAACAACAACAACAACUUCUGCUCCGCAAAAGACACUGUUAAGAAAAUGAUAAACGUGGGUCAGGUGCAGUAGUUCAUGCCUGUAAUCCCAGCACUUUGGGAUGCCAAGGUGAGAGGAUCACUUGAGCCCCAGGAAGUCAAGACCAGGCUGGGCAAUAUGGCAAAACCUCAUCUCUACAAAAAAAAACAAAAAUUAGCCAGGUGUGGUAGCAUGUGCGUCUAGUCCCAGCUACUCAGGAGGCUGAGGUGAGAGGAUCACCUGAGCCCGGGCAGGUCGAGGCUGCAGUGAGCCAUGAUCACACCACUGCAUUCCAGCCUGGGCAACACAGUGAGACCCUGUCUCAAAAAAACAAAUUCUGCUCUGCAAAAGAUACUGUUAAGAAAAUGAUAAAGAUGGGUCAGGCGCACUGUUUCACACCUGUAAUCCCAGCAUUUUGGGAGGCUGAGGCGGAAGGAUCACUUGAGGCCAGGAGUUUGAGACCAGCCUGGGUAACACAGCAAGACCCUGCCUGUCUCUACAAAAAAUAGAAAUAAUGAAAUGAAAAGGCAAGUAUAGACUUGGAGAAAAUAUUUACAAUAUGCAUAUCUAACAAACGACUUGUUUCAGGAAUAUGUAAACAACUCUUUUUUUUUUUCUUUUUUUUUUUUGAGAUGGAGUCUAGAUCUGUCAUCAAUGCUGGAGUGCAGUAGUGCAAUCUUGGCUCACUGCAACCUCCACCUCCUGGGUUCAAGCGAUUCUCCUGCCUCAGCCUCCCAAGUAGCUGGGAUUACAGGUGCCCGCCACCACACCUGGCUAAUUUUUGAAUUUUUCAUAGAGACAAGGUUUCACCGUGUUGGCCAGGCUGAUCUCAAACUCCUGACCUCGUGAUCCGCCCGCCUCAGCCUCCUAAAGUGCUGGGAUUACAGGUGUGAGCUACUGCACCUGGCCUGGAAAACAAUUUCUUUUUUUUUUUGAGGCGGAGUUUUGCUCUUGUUGCCCAGGCUGGAGUGCAAUGGCGCAAUCUCAGCUCACCGCAACCUCAGCUCACCACAACCUCCGCCUCCCGGGUUCAAGCAAUUCUCCUGCCUCAGCCUCUGGAGUAGCUGGGAUUACAGGCAUGCGCCACCAUGCCUGGCUAAAUUUUGUAUUUUUAGUAGAGACGGGUUUUCUUUUUUUUUUUUUUUUUCUUUUUUGAGACGGAGUCUUGCUCUGUCAACCAGGCUGGAGUGCAG
rnacentral:lncRNA from 1 species